AGUGAGCGCUGGCGGUAGGCCUAACACAUGCCAGUCGAACGGCAGCACAGUAAGAGCUUGCUCUUACGGGUGGCGAGUGGCGGACGGGUGAGGAAUACAUCGGAAUCUACUUUUUCGUGGGGGAUAACGUAGGGAAACUUACGCUAAUACCGCAUACGACCUACGGGUGAAAGCAGGGGAUCUUCGGACCUUGCGCGAUUGAAUGAGCCGAUGUCGGAUUAGCUAGUUGGCGGGGUAAAGGCCCACCAAGGCGACGAUCCGUAGCUGGUCUGAGAGGAUGAUCAGCCAAACUUGAAAUUAGACACGGUCCAGACUCCUACGGGAGGCAGCAGUGGGGAAUAUUGGACAAUGGGCGCAAGCCUGAUCCAGCCAUACCGCGUGGGUGAAGAAGGCCUUCGGGUUGUAAAGCCCUUUUGUUGGGAAAGAAAAGCAGCAGGUUAAUACCCCGCUGUUCUGACGGUACCCAAAGAAUAAGCACCGGCUAACUUCGUG
rnacentral:rRNA from 1 species